AUGUUUGAGAUUCAGUGGCUUUUAUAUCUUUUGGCAUAUCUUAAGGUAUCUUGUUCUCGUAUUGUGAUAGUCAUAGUGCAAUUCACAAUGCGGAAAAUCUUAUUCUAUGAGGGUACUAAGCAUUUAGAGUUCCAUUAUUACAUUGAAUGUGAAGAAGUCCAAACUAGUAUACUUCACUUUCUUUGUGUCACUUCUUCUCAGCAAUUUGUUGGUUUUUCAUAA